GUGUUGACGUCUGGGUCCCGCGCAAUGGGAUUCCGUGAACCCUGUCAGGUCCGGAAGGAAGCAGCA
rnacentral:SRP_RNA from 1 species